UCACCCUUCACUUCUUCUUUUCCCACUUUUGCAGUUACAUGAUAUCUGAAGAGGCAGCAGUCAUCCUGAAAUUUUGAGGUAGCAAGGACAAUAAUAAAAGAUGAUUUACUAAGGGAGGCCAACUGCAGUGAUGACAGCCUGGGCCCCAGAUGCCACAGAUGAAUGGCUGAGCCAAUGCCAACAGAAGCCCACCUCUAAACUGAAGGCAGAUAGGGCAACUGCCAUCAAAGAGGGACUGCUGCAACCAAGUGACCUCCAGAGCUGACUGCUCCUCGGAAGACCUGGCCUCACUUUCGCUCUCCACACAGUUACUUCUGCUGGGUAAGUCCCAACACCUUCCCUUACCACUGGCCUGGGCAUUGGGGCUUAUGCAGGAAACAUUUUAAAAAAGAAACAAUAGCAAGAACAACAUUCAUAAUAGUUACGUAAAAAAAG
rnacentral:lncRNA from 13 species